rnacentral:lncRNA from 1 species
AUUUUAAAAGGGCUGCCAUUUAGCAAGGAAAGUAGAUGGCCACUGAGAGCAAAAGGAGACUGAAGGGGUGAAUGUCAGCCAGUCUGAAUGAAGAAGGAACAAGUGAGAGAACUAAGAAGACAGCAUGUCGUGGGCCACAGCAAGGGACAAAAUGAGUCAGAGAAAGUACUGAAGGUCAAAAUCCAGGCCAUCUGGCUACCCUGAGAGCUGCUUUGCUCCUUCAGUUCUGACCCCAUUUCCUCAGGAUCUUGUUCCCUGAGGAGCCAGUCCUGACAUUUCAGACAGAGGCU